GGCUCGCGGCCGCCGGGGGGCGGGGCGAACGGGGCGGGGCCGCGGGAGGAGCUGCGUGGCUCCGCCCCCACAGCGUCGCGUGACGUCGCCCGUAGCGACCGCGGCCUCGCUGAGGGGCCGGAGCGGCGGCGGGAGGAGCGUGAGGGACUCGCGGUCUCAGCAGCUUUUCCCAGCGAUGGAGCCUCCUUGGCUGGCUGAGGGGCCAAGAGACCAGCCCUGUGCCCUGCUUGGAAAGCAGCAGCGCUUCAUCUGGGAAACUCCCCAGUGAGUGACUUGUCCAGCAAACAGCAUCUCCAUGCCUCUCCUGUGCCUGGUCCUCAGCACCCAGGGAUACUCAGUGUGGUGACUUUUUGCACGUGUGCUCAGCCCUGAGGGACUCGGGACCCCACCAGCCUUCCGGAAAGGUAGGGACUGAGAGGCCUUUGCCACAGAACCAAGAGGAGCCUCAGGGGCUGGGAGCCCAAUGGGUACCUCCCAGCUCCCAAAAUGGCCCUGAGCUCUCCCCCAGGAGGGCUCCUUCCCUCUGUCACCCCGGCAGCCCUGGCAUUUGUGCCCAGCCAAGUUCUUUCCCGUUCCAGCCCUUCCCCACCAGCUGCCGGGGCCACUCUCCUCCCUGUGGGAUCCAGAAUCCCUGUGGGACCUUGUCCUGCAGAGUGGAGGCUGUGGAAAGCCCUGCCCAUCCCUGUGUGGAGAGGGGCCGAGGCAAGAGGGCUGCAAAUCUCCUACCUGCCAGGUGGGAUCAGCAGGUUGGAAGUAGCAGAAGUUGUCACUGAUCCACUUGCAAAUGGCCGAGAGGGUGAUCUUGGGCUUCUUGCUGGCUUCCAUCGCCAUGCAGAUGAGGGUGGCGUAGGAGUAGGGUGGCCUGACGUGCGGGUUGGUCUUGUAGUUGAUGUUCCCCAUGAGCUGAGAGGGCUCAGCCACGUCGUGGUGCGUCGUGGUGGUCAUGGAGGUGGUGGAGGAGGAGAUGGCCGCGCGGGGAAUGUCGAUGUACUCGCACAGCUCCUCAGCAGUCAGGGGAAAGCCUGGGGACUGAAAGUCCACCAGACUGACCAGAUUUUCCCAGAUGGUGCAGCGGUCCUCGGGGUCCUCAGAUAUCGGGGGCAAGCCAAUGUGGGCCCCUGUGAGGUUAACCAGCCACGUGAGGUCUGGCUCACUGCCAGGCCUGUCUUCCUUGGUGGAGCUCAAUUGCCUCUGAGCUCUCAGCACAGGGCUGGAGCACACCAUGCCUUGGCACGUCACCGGGUGCAUGUUAACGGGAGGGAAUGGAUGGGACAGAUCCUGCAAGAACAAGAGGGAGAGGGUUGAGGUUCCCAGAGGCACAGUCGCUCUCUGGCACCUGGGCAGGGCUGGGCCUGAGUGCUCCAGAUGUCACUGGGCAAGACCCAUCCCUGGAGUACUGGGCAUGGGAGCUGCAACAUCUUCCCUAGGGGUACUUUAGCAGCCCUGGCCCUCGGGAAAAUUCCCUCAAACCGUCGUGCUCCCAGUGCCACCCAAACUCCAGUGGGCUGGUGCUGCCCAGCAAGCUUUUGGCUGAAAAACCAACAAACCCUCCCCACAACCAACCAAAAUCCGGCCCUGCCGUCCCACCAAGAGAGGUCGUUUCUCCCACCUGUCGUGAGCAGGGCAAAUAUUCAGGGUCUAACACCUCGGCUAAAGACCCUAAAGUCUUCAUCUGGUCCGUCCCAUCCCCACAACCUGCUUCCCUCGGUUUGAUGCUGAUUAUGCUUCUCCCUUCCCCUGGUACCCCAAACCAACCCGGGUGGGGUUGCAGGGACCCACGCCAAGCACAGCGUCACUUGGAGCCAGCCGGCAGCUCCAGGCUUUGGGGAAUACCGGGCAGGGGAUGCGGCGCUGGCUCCGGUGCCGGGCUGCAAAAGCGGAGUGCCGUGGUGGAUUUUGGGCCACGAGAGAGCGAGCUCCCGGACGGCAGCGGGGGCCGCUGGCCCGGCUGUCGCGGGGGUUUGGCGGCGAGAACGAUGCGGAACCCCCCGCGCGGGCGGCGCGGCCGUUGGGGGGAGCAGGGGCAGCUCCCCUCCCGCUUCCAGGAAACGGGCUUUUUAUUUUUAUUCUCCCGGACCAGGACAGGGGUUUUCCGCCAAAACGAAGGCUCCGGGCAGCUUGCUCAGGUGCCCGGUCCCCAGCGUCAGCACCCAGCCCCGGCCUGCUCCCGCGCCCGCAGUACGGGAGGGGGGGCAUCCCCCAAGUGCUCGCUCGCCGCAACCCUCCGCAGCGGCGGGCGGGCCCGUCCCGCCGCCCUCCCCAGCCCCCGGCCGCUCCCCGCCGCCGUCCCUUACCCCGUGCCGGUGUCGCGCCGCAGCUUCCGCAGCUCAGGAGAGAGCUCGUCGUUGUUGGAAAGGCAGGGCGGCAGCAAAAAAAAACCAACAAAACAAUCCGUAGGGAAAAAAGAAGGGGCAAGAGCAGGGCCGAGGACCCGCCGCCCUGCGCUGUGCCCGGGCCGGGCCGUGCCCGCCGAGUCGCUGACAGUCGCCGACAGUCGCCGACAGUCGCGGCCGCCCCGGCGCUGGGGACGGGGGGUCUGAGAGGAUUCGCGCGUGGCGGCGGCGACGCCCCGCCCCGUCAACAUCGCCCGGCCCUGCCAUUGGUGCGCGCGUUGCCGUGGGCGGGGCCUGUCGGACGGGCACCGCCCCCGCGGCGGGAAGGGGCCCGGGGGGAUCCCCGGGGAUGCUGGGGAAUCAUGGAAUCAUGGAAUCGGCCGGGGUGGAAGGGACCUCUGAGAUCAUCAAGUCCAACCUUUGGUCCACUACUACUAAGUGCCACAUCCAGUCUCAUCUUAAAAACAUCCAGGGAUGGAGAAUCCACCCCUUCCCUGGGCAGCCCAUUCCAAUGGCUGCCCCCCCUCUCUGUAAAGAAUUUCUUCCUAAUAUCCAACCUAAACCUCCCCUGGCACAGCUGAAGACCGAGCCCUCUUGUCUUGCUGAUGGUUGCCUGGGAGAAGAGACCAACCCCCCCCCGGCUCCCCCCUCCUGUCAGGGAGUUGCAGAGAGUGAGGAGGUCUCCCCUGAGCCUCCUCUUCUCCAGGCUGAGCCCCCCCAGCUCCCUCAGCCUCUCCUCACAGCACUUGUGCUCCAGUCCCUUCCCCAACCUCGUUGCUCUUCCCUGGACCUGCUCCAGGACCUCCAUGUCCUUCCUGAGCUGAGGGCCCAGAACUGGACACAGCACUCCAGGGGUGGCCUCACCAGCGCUGAGUCCAGGGCAAGAAUCACUUCCUUGGACCUGUUGGCCACCCUGUUCCUGAGCCAGGCCAGGAUCCAUUGGCCUUCUUGUCCCCCUGGGCACACUCUGGCUCCUGUUCAGCUCCCUGUCCAUCUAAACUCCCAGAUCCCUUCCUGCCUGGCUGCUCUCCAGCCACUCUGUCCCAGCCUGUGGGGCUGCAUGGGGUUGUUGUAUGGUGGACCAGCUGUACCCCACAGCCAGCCCCAGCAGCCCCAAAGCCUGUGUCCAAGAUUUUGGAGACAAUGGGGUAGAACCCCCACCCCAAAAAAGGCUCUUCCGCCCACCAAAACCCAACCUCACAGAUACUCAUACAACACCAACAUGUAAAGCCUUUUAUUUUCACCUUGAUUUUUAUUUGAUCCAUCUUCAUUCCUUCAAAACACCUGAAAUUGGGGUAAAAAUAAAGAAAUACAACAAAGCA